ensembl:lncRNA
UUUUAUUUUGUGGAUUUGAAAUUUUUUAAAUAUUAUUAUACUUUAAGUUCUGGGGUACAUGUACAGAACAUGCAGGUUUGUUACAUAGGUAUACACAUGUCAUGGUGGUUUCCUGCAUCCAUCAACCCGUCAUCUACAUUAGGUAUUUCCCUUGACGCUUGAGAUACAAUUACAUUUGAACUUUGAAGAGAUAACCCUCAUAAGGUUAGGACUGCAGGCUAGGGCUACAGUGGAAAUGGACAGAAUGGAUACCCAGAGACCAGUCAGAAAAAUAUUGUGAUAGUCCAGGCAAGAGAUAAGGGUAUCUUAACAGUAGCUCAUUUAGAAUUCAUGCACCAGAUAUACUAUAUCCCAUGAAAUGCUUACAAUAAUCCUAUGUAUUAGAGAUUGUAAAUAUCUUUACAAUGUGGAAAAUGAACUUUGGAGCUGUUGAGUGACUUGACAAGGUCACAAAGAUACCAAGCAAUGGGAAAGAAAUCCAAGCCAGGCAGUCUAGCUCAUAUCGCAUGUUCUAUGACGCUGCCCAGAAAGCGAUGGCAGCAGAGUUGAAAAGAAGUAUACAGAUUCAAAAGAUAUCUGAAAGUUGAAAUCCCAGGCUGUAAUGAUGAAUUGGUUAUCGAGAAUAAGGAGGUAAUAUCAAUUAGAGUGAGGAGAUAUCAAGGAUAAUGUCCAAGGGUCUGACAUAUCCAGGUGGAUGGAUGAUGGUGCCUUUCACCAAAAUAGGAAAGUGAAAAGAGACUAGCUUUUUUUUUUUUUUUUUUUGAGAGGGAAAGGGAAGGUGGGUGUGGCCAGGACACUGAGUACAAUACUACACAUGUUGAAUUUGAGUAACCUCUGAGACACCCAAAUAGAAAUAUUAAGUAGGCAGAUAGAUAUAUGUGUCUAGAGAGUGUAAGAAAGAUCUUGUUUGGAGAUGUAAAUCUGAAAACCUACAGCAUAUGAAAGAUAAUUAAAAUUAUAGACAUAGCUGUACUUACUAGGAUGCAUUAUCUUUUCCUGUUAAACUAACAUUUUGGGCCCAUUCUUCCCCAAACUUGUGAUGAAAACUGAAGCAGAUCCCAUAGCUUUUCUAUCAGUCAUGAGUAAUCAAAAGUCGCUUAUAAGCUUAAACAGUCAAAUCCAGUGUAAUGACCAAAACUCCAAACUCCUCAGCUCUGGCCUGCCAGGGUAAAGAGGGAUAUGGUUGGUUUCUUUUCUCUUCCUCAUCCCACUUCCUUCUCUAUCCACUCACUGGCUGUUAUAGUUGAUUCCUCCUGGUGAGAACCCAGAGGAGUAGUAAAGAAAGAGCACACAGUUGAAGUAGCUGAUAGAGUUGAAAUGUGGGAUCAGUACCCUCUUGUGGGGACCCAUAUGUCUUGCUGAUUACUCACAACCUCUACUUGGAUGUCUAAAGACAUUUCUGACUUAGUGUGGCUAAGAUGAAACAUGAUUUCCUCUCACCUGCUAAAAAUGCUCCUCCCACAUAAACAAAUGGCAACUCCAUUCUGUCGUUUGGACCAAAUACCUUAAAGCCCUCUUUCUCCCAUAACCCAUUUUCAAACCAUUAACAUAUCCUGUCACUGUCUUUAAAAUAUAAGUGAUUCUCAUUAUUAACAGUACUUAUGUUCUAUAAAGUCACCGUAAAUACUGAAUUAGCUAAUACAGAAUCAUUGCCCCUAGGGGAAAUACAGGGUUAUGUUCUGACAUGUAUUUGUUCACAAAAUUUUCAUCAACUGAUCCACACAUACCUUGUUUUAUGUGUGUUUCUGUUUAAAGAAACAGUGAUCUAUUUUAUAGAUUCGUUAGCAAAGAACUCAUGGCCAGCAGCACUAUAACUCACAUCUGAACAAGGCUGAUCUGGCCUUAGUAUUUUCUCGGUAAGGCACAUCACAGCCUUCUUGUUCUUAGGAACACUAUAUAAUCCUUCAGGACUACAUUUGGGGCCAUUUUAAACAGCAAUUAUCACCAACAAAAGGCACAAAAAUGAAAAAAAAAAUGGCGCUAAAUAUACCACGAAAAGGAAACUUGUUUACAACAUGAGACCUGAAAUGAGAAGGCAGAGCGUCAUCUUAUUAGAACUCAGCAGGGAACACGCACAGCAGGCAGAUUUUUCACUACUUUGUGCAUAUGCUGGUCUGUGAGUGACUGUAAGACAACUUGAGUAUUGAUUUUGGGGUUGCAAACAAACUUUAGCAAGGAGGCUGGUUUGCAAAUACACAAUCUGCUAAUAAGGACAGACAGUAUAUCCAGAAUCUGACCACUUCUCAUCACCAUCACCACUACUACCCCUGUCCAAACCAUGAUCAUCUCUUCACUCGCACUGGUCUCCUUACCAGCCUCCCAGCAUCUAAUCUUUCCUCCAAGGGUCUAAAAUUCCCCGGCGUUUUUAAACUCAAACUAAGAUCAUGUCACUGCUCUACUCAAAGCCCUCCAGUGACUUUCAAUCUCUUCUGAAAUGAAAGCCAAAGUCCUGGCCAUUGCUACACAAGGUCCCCUGUGAUCUUAGUGGCUCCAUUUUCUAUCCCUCUCUGCCCUCCCUCACUCCAUUCUAGACAAGCAUACUCCUACCUGGCAGCCUUUGAACUUGUGUUUUCUACUUGUAAGGUUGUUCAUAUGGCUCGCACUAUAGUGAAUUCCUAUAAUUUGUCAACAAAAAGAGUCAAACUCUAUAAAAUAUUUGGAGAGAUUUAUUCUGAGCCAAGUAUGAGUCAUCAUGACCUGGGGCAGAGUCUCAAGAGGUUCUAAGAACAUGUGCCCAAGAUGGUCAGGCUGCAGCUUGGUUUUAUACAUUUCAGGGAGACAUAGGCAUCAAUUACUACACGUAAGGCAUACACAUCAGUUUGGUCCAGAAAAGUGGAACAACUCUAAAUGGGUUGGGGAGGAGCCUUGCCAGGUCAUAAGUGGAUUCAAAGAUUUUCUGACUGGCAAUUGGUGGAUAGAGAUAAGUUAUUAUUUAAAGACCUGGAAUCAAUAGAAGGUAGUGUCUGGGUUAGAGGAAAGCGUUGUGGAGAACAAGCUUCUUAUGCAGAUGAAGCCUCCAGAUGGCAGGCUUCAGAGAGAAUAGGCCUUAAAUGUUUCUUAUCAGACUUACAAAGGUGUCAGUUUCUCAGUUAAUUGUCUCCUGGAUCAGGGAAAAGACCGGGAAAGGGAUGCUCUACAGAAUAUACAUUUUCCCCAUAAUAGACAGUUUUGCCAAGACACUUCAAAAUAUGUCAAAGAAAUAUAUUUUGGGGUAAAAUACUUUCUUUGACUUCUUUAAGGGUCUGUAAUCUGUUGUGCUUGUAUCUUAUUGCUAAAAAUAAUCUGUUCUAAUGUUAAUGCUGGUUAGUUGUGCCUAAAUACUAAAGGGAGCAGGGUAUAAUGAGGCAUGUCCAAUACCUUCUUCCCAUCAUGGCCUGAACUAGUUUUUCAGGUUAACUUUGAAAUGCCCUUGACUUAGAGUAGGGGUCCAUUCAUUUAGGUAGGGACUAGAAUUUUAUUCUUGGUUUACAAAUUUUAUGUUGCUUCGAUAUGCAUUUUGAAUAUGUUUCCUUUUCUCAUACCAGAAGCAGGACUCAUUUGUCCUUGACACAGUUUCCAGUUACACACCCCCUCCCAGUUCCUCUAUGUGGACAGUCGAGAUAUCACCUUUUACCACUGCCUUUUGGUGACCAACUCUCCAACCUCCCUAUGGGUCAGCUAGAUACUCCUACUUGACUCACUGCUCUUGUUCCGCACACUCUAUAGGCACCGCAUAGAAGUGCUGCAAUAACCACCUCUCAGUCACUGCAUGACCCCUUGGAAUUCAUGCCUGUUGCCUUUAAACCCACCAAACAG